UACGGAGGGUGCGAGCGUUGUCCGGAAUCACUGGGCGUAAAGGGCGCGUAGGCGGCAUGCCAAGCGUGUGGUGAAAGCCCGGGGCUCAACCCCGGGUCGGCCGUGCGGACUGGCGUGCUUGAGCACUGUAGGGGCGGGUGGAAUUCCGGGUGUAGCGGUGGAAUGCGUAGAGAUCCGGAAGAACACCGGUGGCGAAGGCGGUCUGCUGGGUAGUUGCUGACACUGAGGCGCGACAGCGUGGGGAGCAAACAGG
rnacentral:rRNA from 1 species